UCCAAAUUGAAUCAGAAAUCCUAAUUCUCAAAUCCCAUAAACCCUAACCCUAAUUUUCUCCCUUUUCUCCGCCUCUGAACACACCUCCACCCCCUUUUCUUCCUAAACACAAUACACACAAAACAGAGAAAGAAACGCAGAGAUGGAGAGGAAGAAGAGAAGGAGAAGGGUGUGGCACCGCUGGCUGGGUACCGCCGCCGUCCAUCCCAUCGUUGCGCCGUGCACGUCGAGCCCGUCCCGCCGCUGACAUCGCCGAAAGGAGAGCGACCACCAUGAGAGAGCCGUCGCCACGCAGCCGCCGUCCUGUUGCCAACGCCUUUGCGGGGGAAGACCGGAGCCGAGACAGGGAGUAGCGUCGCGAGGGAGAGAGAGGAGGUUGGGUCGCGCUGUCCGUGGAGCUUGCCGCCGUCGCCGUUCAAGCUACUGCUGCUGCCACACUCCACGCCGUCGCCGUCGUCAUUCGUGGAGGAAGAGGAAGCAAGUGCGACCGAGGAGAGCGAGAGAGACCGAAGCUGCGAGGGAGAGGAAGUGACGCACGCAGGAACUGCGAGCCAAAGGAGCCACUGACGUUGCUGUUGUGGCCAUCGCCAUCACCGUGAGUGAAGUCCGCCGCUCGUACUAAUUGAGACUGCCGAAGUUGCUGUUUGACUCUGAUGUAAUUCAUCCUUGUCCCUGUUCACGGUUGUCCUCUGUUCUUCCUCUGCUUUUGAUCUUCGCAGUUACCUGAAUCUCUACCGCCAUGGGUAUUGCCGUUGGAGUCGCUGGGAACCAAUGUUGGAGCUGCCCUUGAUGAUUCGGAUGCUGCUACGUAGGUUUGGAGCUGCUGUGUUGUUGCCGGAGGAAGGGAACUCAUCAGAAAAAUGUAAUUGAGGCUGAUGUUUGGUUUGAUUGCGUAGUUAACGUGACAUUGAGGUUCGAAGACUCCGUUUGAAGCUGCGGGCGAUUGUUAGACCUUAUUUAUGAGUUAAGUGUAUAUGGAUGAUUCACGACAAAAGGCUGAGUCAUGAGUUACAGAAAUUUGUUGGUUGGGAUUUCUGCUGGAGGCCAUUGAAAAGGUCAUGAGGUUGAUGGUUUUGAACGGUGGAGAUUUUGCAUCAACAAUUAUGAGUUGGAAACACUCACAUUGAAUUGAUGGACUCAGUCAUGUAAUUUUCAAUUUAAUUAUAUCAAUGCUGUUUAAUUAGUUUACUGUUAAUUGUGUUGAAUUGAUAACAUUAUUUUGUAUUUGCACAUCAGGUGUAAUAUAUCCCAGGCGCACGAAAAAAAAAAAAGAAAAUGUCGUCUAUGUUUCAUCACAUUGAAUUGCUGGCUGCCUUGGCGUAUUAUCCUAGCAUCGAAUUGUUCGGAUAAGAUUAUAAAGAAAAGUAAAAUAAAA